GGAUUGUGGCUCAGUGGCAGAGUGCUUGCCUCGCAUGUAUGAGGUAUUGGGUUCAAUCCUCAGCACCA
rnacentral:tRNA from 1 species